CCUAGUAACGGCGAGUGAAGAGGGAUGAGCCCAAGAUUGAAAGCUGGCGUCGUGACUGGCGUUCCGCAUUGUAAUCUCAAGAAGCGUUUAUCCGCUACGGACCAGGUCAAAGUCUCUUGGAAAGGAGCAUCAUGGAGGGUGAAAAUCCCGUGUGUGACCUGGAGCCACCGUAGUACUGCGAUGCGUUUUUUCUCAGAGUCGAGUUGUUUGGGAAUGCAGCUCAAAAUGGGUGGUAAAUGCCAUCUAAGGCUAAAUACAGGGGAGAGACCGAUAGCGAACAAGUACCGUGAGGGAAAGAUGCAAAGAACUUUGGAAAGAGAGUUAAACAGUAUGUGAAAUUGCCAGAAGGGAAGGGUAGGAAGUCAGAGAUGCGGAGCCGUAGCUCAGCGGGCUGUUUGUAGUGGGCAGCCGGUGCAGGCUAGGGCUCUGCAGGCCAACGUCGGUUCUGUGGCGCGGGAAAGCGGGGUCGGGAAAUGUGGCAUUUCUUCGGAAGUGUGAUUAUAGACCGGCCUUUUGAGUCUGGACCAGCGACGGGAGCCGUGGUUUCGCAGCAUGAUGCUUCUGCGCUCUGGGCGAGGGCGUGAAAACCUUUUUCCGGAGCGCGGGCGGUGUUAGGUCUUCGGGCACUAUUCAUGCUGAUGGCGUUGGCUUAAUGGCCGUCUACCACCCG
rnacentral:rRNA from 1 species